AACGAACGCUGGCGGCAUGCCUAACACAUGCAAGUCGAACGAAGGCUCCGGCCGUAGUGGCGCACGGGUGCGUAAUGCGUGGGAAUCUGCCCUUGGGUUCGGCACAACAGUGGGAAACCGCUGCUAAUACCGGACGACGACGUAAGACCAAAGAUUUAUCGCCCAAGGAUGAGCCCGCGUAGGAUUAGCUAGUUGGUGGGGUAAUGGCCCACCAAGGCGACGAUCCUUAGCUGGUCUGAGAGGAUGAUCAGCCACACUGGGACUGAGACACGGACCGGACUCCUACGGGAGGCAGCAGUGGGGAAUAUUGGACAAUGGGCGAAAGCCUGAUCCAGCAAUGCCGCGUGAGUGAUGAAGGCCUUAGGGUUGUAAAGCUCUUUUACCCAGGAUGAUAAUGACAGUACCGGGAGAAUAAGCUCCGGCUAACUCCGUGCCAGCCGCCGCCGUAAGAC
rnacentral:rRNA from 1 species